ensembl:lncRNA
GUGUGUGUGUGGGGGGCUUUGGGUGCAGGUGGUUUAACUUAUUUAAGAGUGGCGCAAGAGUUACAAUAAUGUGGGAGUAGGUAAAAAGUGGUGGAGAGAAAGAGACAAUGGAAGAAGCAUUGAUUCUCGAUAUUAUGGACUUCAAAGUCAAUAAUAGGUUACCUGAUGCCGGCCUAACAAAACAAUAGAGAUGCACGAUAUAAAGAAGAUAACACUUUGCUCAAGGAUGGAGAGCUUCAUUACGUUUGUAGAAGACGGAAGGAGAGCGAGCGUUUGGAUAAGGUAGUCACCUCAGCUGCCAAGGCCAACAUAAUAUUCGAAGAAAUGCUCUGCAGUUCUAUCUGUGGUCACUACGAUGUGGAGAAAAACGCACAAUGCGGUGAUCAUCCGAAACGACUGGCCUGGCAUGGAGGCGGACAUCCGCAAAUGGGUAACAACCAUUUGAGCUGGUGGGGAGGAACCUCAUGAGGCACAGUUUAACAGAGUGGUAAUCAUUACAUUUGUGUGAUGGUUGAUUUUUCACCAAGUGGGCAGCGGCUACCCUCUGAAGAGUAACUCUGCAGAGGAGGUGAGCAAUUGUAUUCUUGAUACAACUUUAAGAACCAGGUAGCUAGAGAACCUUCCGUAUAUCUUAGGGAUAAGGAACUGCAGCCUGCAAUUUUCAGCAUCAGGACCAAGAACUAGUUAACAAAAAAGUAUAGCCCAUCUUUUGUUGUUGUUUGGCAGGAAGGCAAAUACCCAUCUUAUGUGCCACAGAACCUAAGGUAAGUGGCUCUAUUUGUAUAGGUCGUCAGGGAGUGUGGUCAUUAUUACUUGACUAAAUAGGUGAGAUUUUAACACCACUUGGUAUCUUUGUACUUUAGGUGACACUGAGAAGGUGGAGCGUUUGCUGAUGAGGGAGGCGGUUUUUAAAGGACUCUCAAAGCAGACAAACGUACAUAAAACUAAAAUACAGUCCUACAAGCGUCCAAAAGAAGCAGGAGAAAAUCCGUAAACUGAAGCUGGAGAUCGUGUGCUCAAAAAAGGUGGAGGAACGCAGUAAAAAGGGGUCUCGCUGGGGCCUUUCAAAAUAAUCGCACUUUGCCAUGCUGGCGGGGGCAAAGUAUCGACCUCCUCACCCCCUUCAUUGAGCCAGAGGAGCGUCAAGAGAUAAUACCAGGGGAGAGUCAGCCCACCCAAAGUAAUGGUACAUUACAUUCAGUUAUGUGACAUUAAGGAUAAUAAUGCCAUCCAGUCUUUUAAAUGACUUGUGUUCUGAUUUUCCAGUUUUCCAACAAAUAUGGACUAGGGAAAAGGGUUGAGAUUCUGUGGUCCAAAAAUCAGGCCAUGUAUCA